GGGACCGACAGCAAUAUGAAGGCCAGGCUGAAGACUUUGCCGGAUUAGCUGAGAGGUGGUGCAUGGCCGUCGUCAGUUCGUACUGUGAAGCAUCCUGUUAAGUCAGGCAACGAGCGAGACCCACGCCCACAGUUGCCAGCGUACUCUCUGGAGUGACGGGUACACUGUGGGACCGCCGCUGCUAAAGCGGAGGAAGGAAUGGGCAACGGUAGGUCAGUAUGCCCCGAAUAUCCCGGGCUACACGCGAGCUACAAUGGUUGGUACAAUGGGUAUCUACCCCGAAAGGGGACGGGAAUCUCCUAAAACCAAUCUUAGUUCGGAUUGAGGGCUGCAACUCGCCCUCAUGAAGCUGGAAUCCGUAGUAAUCGCGUUUCAACAGAACGCGGUGAAUACGUCCCUGCUCCUU
rnacentral:rRNA from 1 species